rnacentral:rRNA from 1 species
CCGACCACACCCUGGUUAGAACCAAUGUGGAAAACUCCCAUACCCCUGAAGAUUAAGAUAUUCAUGUGGCAGCUUCUGCUCAAUCGCCUCCCCUCGGGGACUUAGGUACUUAAGCGACACGGACCGGGGAAUGGCAUGUUCCCCCUUUGCGCGGUAUUGGAGGCAGAAACCCACAUCCUAUUCUCAUGUACGACGACGAAGGUGAUGUGGAUGUUCAUACACAAGGUGUUGGGGCCCGACUGGGAGGGCUUGAAGCUUGUGGACUUCCUCCAAUUUAGGGUUACACAGCCAUCACGACAUUGCCGCCUUUUUUGGCUCAUCUUUGCGGCAAUGUCGUGGACAUUAUGGACGACUCGUAAUAAAAUGGUGAUUGAGAAGGUCCUCCCGCGAAAGGCAUCUGACUCGCACUUCAAAUUCCUUGCUUUUCUGCAGCACCGGCACCCGUUAUCGAGGUAG